UUGAAAGACCGAAAUACCCAGCACUUUCUCUCACGCCCCUCAUCUCUCAUCUCUGCUCUCCCUUCGCAGUUUGACGCCUCCAUCUCUUCUCUCUGCCUUGCUCUGCCCUCUCUGUACCAAAAACACUGAUCUGCUACCAAAAACCAGGUGCAAUUCACAUUGGCAUAGAGCUCCAAGAUAGAUAAUAGCCCGAUUUUGUAGCUGAGGAUAUUCUGUUGUCUUCAUAUUAUGAAAACUUAAGCAUAGACAGGGAAAAAAGAAAAGAAAAAAAGAAGCGGAAUGCUUGUGAAACUUUGAAAAGAAGCCCGAUUUUAUAUGUUUUUACAUUUUUAUGUAGUACAAUUUAAACUUAGAUUAUUGGUGUAUAUUUUAUCAUCUUUUUACAUUUUUA